rnacentral:lncRNA from 1 species
UGAGCCUGACUCUCCAUGCUAUGGCCCAGAAGACACAGGAUUGAAGACGCAAACAAUAAACAAAUAAGAAAAAUAAAAUAAAGCCUCUCACACUGCACCAUGGGAAGGUCUCGGUGGCUGCUUCCCCGUGUGUUACCUCAGCCUGAAACUUCUGUGAGGAAUGACUGUCUCUGUUGUUUGUUUGGUUUGUUGGCACCAGUGGGGGAAGGAGGCCAGAGAGAGUUCAAAAGUCCAGCUGCUCAGCAAAUCAGCUCUUCCUCCAUACCACCCUGCCUCUGUGGUCACUGGACUUGGAGCUCCAAGGGGCCCCAGAGCUAAGCAUAUCGACUUGUCCAGUGAUGACUGCUGCAAACCUGUAAUCCCAGCACUGGGGAGGAGGAGGUAGUAUAUCCCUGGGGAUCACUGGCCUGCCAGACCAGCCUACUUCAUGAGCUCCAGGCCAAUGAGAGAUAGUCUCAAAAUAACAAAAAGCAAAACAAAAGCAAUAGACAGUGUCUGAAGAACAACACCUAACAUUGUCAUUCACUCUCAGCAUGCACACACACACAUCACACCCAUACACAUGGGCAUACACACACACAUACAUCACACCCAUACACAUUGAUACAUACACACACAACCACACACACACACACACAUCACACCCAUACACCUGGGCAUACACACACACACACAUCACACCCAUACACCUGGGCAUACACACACACAUACACACACACAUCACACCCAUACACCUGGGUAUACUCACACACACACAUCACACCCAUACACAUGGGCAUACACACACACACACUUCU